AUGCAAGUCGAGGGGUAUGGUUCUUCGGAACCAGAGACCGGCGCACGGGUGCGUAACGCGUAUGCAAUCUGCCUUUCACAGAGGGAUAGCCCAGAGAAAUUUGGAUUAAUACCUCAUAGUAUAGCGACAUCGCAUGAUGAUGCUAUUAAAGUCACAACGGUGAAAGAUGAGCAUGCGUCCCAUUAGCUAGUUGGUAAGGUAACGGCUUACCAAGGCAACGAUGGGUAGGGGUCCUGAGAGGGAGAUCCCCCACACUGGUACUGAGACACGGACCAGACUCCUACGGGAGGCAGCAGUGAGGAAUAUUGGUCAAUGGGCGCAAGCCUGAACCAGCCAUGCCGCGUGCAGGAUGACGGUCCUAUGGAUUGUAAACUGCUUUUGCACAGGAAGAAACACUGAUUCGUGAAUCAGCUUGACGGUACUGUGAGAAUAAGGAUCGGCUAACUCCGUGCCAGCAGCCGCGGUAAUACGGAGGAUCCAAGCGUUAUCCGGAAUCAUUGGGUUUAAAGGGUCCGUAGGCGGUCUGGUAAGUCAGUGGUGAAAGCCCAUCGCUCAACGGUGGAACGGCCAUUGAUACUGCUGGACUUGAAUUAUUAGGAAGUAACUAGAAUAUGUAGUGUAGCGGUGAAAUGCUUAGAGAUUACAUGGAAUACCAAUUGCGAAGGCAGGUUACUACUAAUGGAUUGACGCUGAUGGACGAAAGCGUGGGUAGCGAACAGGAUUAGAUACCCUGGUAGUCCACGCCGUAAACGAUGGAUACUAGCUGCUGGAAGCAAUUUCAGUGGCUAAGCGAAAGUGAUAAGUAUCCCACCU
rnacentral:rRNA from 1 species